rnacentral:misc_RNA from 1 species
CAGCAGCCAGUUCCCUCCCUAUCACACAUUCAUUCUCAUUAUCUUCUAUUUUACCAAUUACAAUGUCUUUCAAAGCCACCAAUAUAAUUUUAAUUUUAUUUUUAUUUUUUUUUAAUAUUUUCACUCAGAGUAUUUUUGCUUUAGCUUUAGCAUAUUCAAGUCGAAUCCUUGUAUAAGAAAUGAAAAAUCUUUAUCAAUUGGAAUAAUUUGUAAUUUGUAUAAUAUAGUAGAAAAGAAAAGAGGGAGUACACAGCGACGUGGUCACUCAGCUGCCCGUCAUUAGAACUCUCACCAUAUCCACAUUUUCAUGCACAAAUCUCACUCACUCACUCGUUCCAUCCUUUAAAACAGUUCAUAUCAAUUACUUGCAGACCAAAUUAAAGGAGUGUUUAAUAUUCUACUUCUUCACCAUUAUCAAGAGAGUCGAAAAGCUAAAGAUCCUAGAAGAGGUUUAAGCUUUAAUGGCUCAAACCAUACUGUUCAUGUCUGGUGUUUCUACUAAGCAUGUGGUGAAUUUGAAGAGAGACCCUUUACUCCAAUUCCAAGUUGAGAGACUAAGGCCUAAACCCUUCUCUCGUCUCUUCUUCAAUCCCCUUCCUUCAAACUCUUCUUUUUCUUCUAAAACAUUUACUACACUUGCUCUCUUCAAGUCAAAAACCAAGGCUCCUCUUAAGAAGGCUGCUGAACCUAAGCCCAAGGUUGAAGAUGGUAUUUUUGGUACCUCUGGUGGAAUCGGUUUCACUAAGCAGAAUGAGCUGUUUGUGGGACGUGUUGCUAUGCUUGGUUUUGCUGCAUCCUUGUUGGGUGAAGCAAUAACAGGAAAAGGAAUUCUAGCACAGUUGAACCUAGAGACAGGAAUUCCCAUUUAUGAAGCAGAACCACUUCUUCUUUUCUUUAUCCUUUUCACUCUGCUUGGAGCCAUUGGAGCAUUAGGUGACCGUGGCAAAUUUGUCGACGACCCACCCACUGGCAUUGAAGGUGCAGUCAUCCCUCCUGGCAAAGGUUUCAGGUCAGCAUUGGGUCUCAAAGAAGGAGGUCCUCUGUUUGGAUUCACCAAGGCCAACGAGCUCUUUGUGGGAAGAUUGGCUCAACUUGGAAUUGCUUUCUCUUUAAUUGGAGAAAUCAUAACAGGAAAAGGAGCUCUAGCUCAACUCAACAUAGAGACUGGAAUUCCUGUCAAUGAAAUCGAACCCCUUGUCUUGUUCAACGUUAUCUUCUUCUUCAUUGCUGCUUUGAAUCCUGGAACUGGCAAAUUUGUAACCGAUGAGGAUGAAGAUGAGUAAAAGAUGAACUUGUUAUGCAUG